AGUGAACGCUGGCGGUAGGCCUAACACAUGCAAGUCGAACGGCAGCACAGUAAGAGCUUGCUCUUACGGGUGGCGAGUGGCGGACGGGUGAGGAAUACAUCGGAAUCUACUUUUUCGUGGGGGAUAACGUAGGGAAACUUACGCUAAUACCGCAUACGACCUACGGGUGAAAGCAGGGGAUCUUCGGACCUUGCGCGAUUGAAUGAGCCGAUGUCGGAUUAGUUAGUUGGCGGGGUAAAGGCCCACCAAGGCGACGAUCCGUAGCCGGUCUGAGAGGAUGGUCAGCGACACUGGAGCUGGGACACGGUCCAGACUCCUACGGGAGGCAGCAGUGGGGAAUAUUGGACAAUGGGCGCAAGCCUGAUCCAGCCAUACCGCGUGGGUGAAGAAGGCCUUCGGGUUGUAAAGCCCUUUUGUUGGGAAAGAAAAGCAGCAGGUUAAUACCCCGCUGUUCUGACGGUACCCAAAGAAUAAGCACCGGCUAACUUCGUG
rnacentral:rRNA from 1 species